GACGAACGCUGGCGGCGCGCUUAACACAUGCAAGUCGAACGGAAAGGCCUGCUUUCCCUUGUGGAUUGCGGGUACUCGAGUGGCGAACGGGUGAGUAACACGUGAGUGAUCUGCCCCCAACUUGGGUAUAAGCCUGGGAAACUGGGUCUAAUUCCCGAUAGGACUGCAGGGUGGUGCCUGUGGUGGAAAACGAUUUUCUAGUGGUUGGGGAUGAGCUCGCGGCCUAUCAGCUUGUUGGUGGGGUAAUGGCCUACCAAGGCGGCGACGGGUAGCCGGCCUGAGAGGGUGGACGGGCACAUUGGGACUGAGAUACGGCCCAGACUCCGACGGGAGGCAGCAGUGGGGAAUAGUGCACAAUGGGCGGAAGCCUGAUGCAGCGACGCCGCGUGGGGGAUGACGGCCUUCGGGUUGUAAACUCCUUUCGACCGCGAGGAAGCCACCUGGUUGGAAGGGUGGUGACGGUAGUGGUAGAAGAAGCACCGGCUAACUACGUG
rnacentral:rRNA from 1 species